rnacentral:rRNA from 1 species
UCCCUUAGUAACUGCGAGUGAAGUGGGAAAAGCUCAAAUUUGAAAUCUGGCGGCUCUUUACCGUCCGAGUUGUAAUCUAGAGAAGUGCUACCUGUGCUGGACCGUGUACAAGUCUCCUGGAAUGGAGCAUCACAGAGGGUGAGAAUCCCGUCUUUGACACGGACUGCCUGUGCGGUUAUGGUGUGCUCUCAAAGAGUCGAGUUGUUUGGGAAUGCAGCUCAAAAUGGGUGGUAAAUGCCAUCUAAAGCUAAAUAUUGGCAAGAGACCGAUAGCGAACAAGUACCGUGAGGGAAAGAUGAAAAGAACUUUGGAAAGAGAGUUAAACAGUACGUGAAAUUGCUGAAAGGGAAACGCUUGAAGUCAGUCGCAUUGGCUAGAAAUCAACCUUGCUUUUGCUUGGUGUACUUUCUGGUUGAUGGGUCAGCAUCAAUUUUGACCACUGGAUAAAGUCUUUGGGAAUGUGGCAUCUUUUGAUGUGUUAUAGCCCAUCGUCGCAUAC